AACGAACGCUGGCGGCAGGCCUAACACAUGCAAGUCGAGCGAGAACUUCGGUUCUAGCGGCGGACGGGUUAGUAACGCGUGGGAAUAUGCCCUUCACUACGGAAUAGUCCCGGGAAACUGGGUUUAAUACCGUAUACGCCCUUCGGGGGAAAGAUUUAUCGGUGAAGGAUUAGCCCGCGUUGGAUUAGGUAGUUGGUGGGGUAAUGGCCUACCAAGCCGACGAUCCAUAGCUGGUUUGAGAGGAUGAUCAGCAACACUGGGACUGAGACACGGCCCAGACUCCUACGGGAGGCAGCAGUGGGGAAUCUUAGACAAUGGGGGCAACCCUGAUCUAGCCAUGCCGCGUGAGUGAUGAAGGCCUUAGGGUUGUAAAGCUCUGUCUUUAGGGACGAUAAUGACGGUACCAAAGGAGGAAGCCACGGCUAACUACGUGCCAGCAGCCGCGGUAAAAC
rnacentral:rRNA from 1 species